rnacentral:rRNA from 1 species
AUUUCCCUCUUUCUUUAGGCCUAACACAUGCAAGUCGAACGGCAGCACAGUAAGAGCUUGCUCUUACGGGUGGCGAGUGGCGGACGAGUGAGGAAUACAUCGGAAUCUACUUUUUCGUGGGGGAUAACGUAGGGAAACUUACGCUAAUACCGCAUACGACCUACGGGUGAAAGCAGGGGAUCUUCGGACCUUGCGCGAUUGAAUGAGCCGAUGUCGGAUUAGCUAGUUGGCGGGGUAAAGGCCCACCAAGGCGACGAUCCGUAGCUGGUCUGAGAGGAUGAUCAGCCACACUGGAACUGAGACACGGUCCAGACUCCUACGGGAGGCAGCAGUGGGGAAUAUUGGACAAUGGGCGCAAGCCUGAUCCAGCCAUACCGCGUGGGUGAAGAAGGCCUUCGGGUUGUAAAGCCCUUUUGUUGGGAAAGAAAAGCAGCAGGUUAAUACCCCGCUGUUCUGACGGUACCCAAAGAAUAAGCACCGGCUAACUUCGUG